UUUUCGGGAAUUAAGUAAAUGUAAUCCUAAAAACUGCAACUCCACCGACUAUAAGGAAUCAUAUAAAAGCUGCGAACGGACAGAGACAAAUUACGAAGAAACCACUCGGAGGAAAGAAAACGAUAGUGAAAGCUGGAUCUUUGAGUGAGGCUUACUCUAAUUCUCAACUGUAGUGCGUGGUCCAGGGUUUGAAAAAAGGCCACAUUGCAUCCUGUGAAGAUGUCCUACGCCACCUGGAUCAGCUUGUGCUGGAAAGAGUGAAUGCUGUUUGAGGCUUGGCCGUUGUGUAGCCAGAGGAGAAGGCUUGUUUUAUUUAAGCCGUGAUAGCCUUUAUGAGCACUCAACCUACUAAAAGCCUUCAAAAGUUUUUGUUCACUUGCUGCAUAUGUUGCUAUAGAUUAGGUACCAUUUACCUGUGUAGUUUAACAUAGCAGAUAGGUGUUUUUUUUGGGCAACACAUGUGCUCUACUUGCAUCCCUAGCAAACGAUUUCCUGGAAGGAUAUCCAAUUGCUCAAGUUUCAAGAGAAAGGCAAGCUGGCUAAAUUUUACUUAUUUUGUGAAGGAGUGAGAGUUGACCAACAAGUUCGCUGUUCAUUGUGGGCACAAAGUAUCUAUUUUUCUAAUGAUGCUAACCAAGUUAGAAUGGGGACAAGCUUAGUGGACAAGACUACCUGAUUUAUGUGUUGAUACCAUAUGGAUUGUGCAUUGCUAUUGGGAAGUUGUAGAGUGUUGUAUGCAUAGAGUUUGGUGUUUCUCUCUCCAUCCAAGCAGAGUGCACCCAUACAUCCAGAGUAAUAAAGCGCAUUGCCAUGGAGCAUCCAGCUAAGAUCCUAAACGCCGUAAGCAUUGUGUUCUCAUUGUGGUGAACUUAGUAGUACAUAGCAGCCAUAGACUUGCAUUUGAUAUUAUCAUGACAACAGUAGUAUAGGACAAUGUGUGUGCUUUGGUUUAAGCCUUUCAGCACUACCCUUACUAGUGGAUCACAGUUGCGUGCUUACCAGAGUAAACCAUCAAGGACUGUCCAUAGACCAUCAUAUCUGGUUUGUUUCCCGAUAACUACAUUGGAUUUAAAGUUUCUGUUGUGGUGGGGGUGUGCAUUCUAUUUCUUACAGAAGAAAAACUGAGCAUGAAUUGAGAAAAUGUAUAAUUAUCCAAGAAAAGCCUAAUUCAAGAUCACAAAAAGUGAAAGUGCUAUUUGAAAAGGAAGCCUUGGUGCCUCAGGUAUCUGGACAUUACCAAUUUGGACAAUUACCAAUUGGGAGCUUGCAACUACUUUUUGAGUUUUCCAGUAAGGCUUCAAAUACUCAAAUUCCAACAUGAGUCUUGUGAGAGGGAUUGUAAUCAAGUAACCAAAGAAUCAGGUAUUCAGACAGUUGUCGGUUUGGGCUGGUUUUUAGUUGGGGGGUUGGGAUGGGUGCUUGUGGCUCCUUUUGAAUUUUACAGUGUGGCUUCAAAACUUCUGAAAUAUUUGGUCCUCCCUGUUGUUGAUGAUGAACAAGUGCAAUUACCAGAUACAUGCUGUUCAGUAACAAAAAAAAAGGUAUUCCGACAUAAUUGCCAUUCAGUUUGGAUCAUUGUUUUUUUUGGGGAGCGCCCCUGUGGUUAAUUUUCCAGCAUUGGAAUUGGAUCUAAGGUGUCCAAGGCAUUGUCAAUUUAAACUUGUGUUUCAUGGGGAGGGGUGCUUGUUGCUCCUUUUCAUUUUCCAGUAUAUGGCCAUUAAUAUCUGAAAAGCAAGUUGCUGCACAUUCUCAAGAAAGUGUCGACAUUUGAGGCUAAAGAAAAACUGGCAUCAAGUGCACACAGAAUAUCACUUGGUAAUUAAAUACUGUUUGGUGAUACUGUUUGGUGAAUUUGGAUCAUUUGUGAUGGGUGUGUUUUUUGCAUGGCUAUUCAAAUAUUUCCAGCAGACCAGCAAGAAAGUUUGGAAUUUAAGUAAAAAGUUGAUUUACAUAAGUUGAAAGGAUGAGGUGAAAUAAAAUUUAAAGACUUUGCAUCUAGCAUCUCAGCUACCAGGAACCUAUUGUCAGUAUGGACAUGGUGAAUUUGUGGGGGGAGGGGCGCUUGCAACUCCUUUUGAGUUUUCCAGCAGUGUGGCUUCAAAGCAUUGGAAAUGGAAUUCCGUGCAACACAAGAUUUAUCAAGUCGAAUAUCCAAACAAUCAGGUAUCCGGACCUUGUUAACUUGGACUAUUGUGUUGUUGUUGUUUUUUUUGGGGGGAGGGGUGCUUGGAACUUUUGUGAGUUUUCCAGUACUGUGGCUUCAAGAACUUUGGAAAUGCAAGUCUUCAUAAUUGGCGAUGAGGUUAAAGUACAACACCAGAUUCACACAGUCGAGUAACCAAAGAAUCAGGUAUAGGAUGUCAAGUUUGAGUAAUUUUUUUUUUUUGGGUGGGAGGGGUGUUAGCGACUUUUUUGAGUUUUCCAGCAGUGUGGCCUCAAAAGCUUUGGAAAUGGAAAUUCCUUCAUUAGUGUUGAGGUUAAAGUUCCACUCCAGCAGAUUCGUCAAGUCGAUUUACUGAAGAAUCAGGUAUCCAGAUCUUUAGCCUUGUGUGUUUUUUGGGGGUUGGGGAGGGGAGCUUGCAACCACUUUUUAGUUUUCCAGUACUGUGGGUUCAAAAACUUUGGAAAUGCAAGUCUUCAUAAUUGGUGAUGAGGUUAAAGUACAACACCAGAUUCAUGCCGUCGAGUAACCAAAGAAUCAGGUAUCCAGAUCUUAUCUUGGACUAUUGUGUUUUUUUGAGGGGGAGGGUCGCUUGUAAAUCCUUUUGAGUUUUCCAGCGUUGUCUUCAUAAUUGGUGAUGACCGGAUUCCUCCGUUAUGAGCUUUGGGAUUAAAGAGCGACACCACAUUCAUCAAGUUGAGUAACCAAAGUCGGGACAUUGUCAACUUGGAGUUUUAGGGAGGGGCACUUGCAACUCUUAAUUUUUACAGCUGUGUGGCUAUGGAAAUGUGAGUCUUUGUAAUUGGUGAUUAGGUUAAAAGGCAACCCCAGAUUCAUGCAGUCAAUACAAGAAUCAGGUAUCCAUACUUAAUAAUUUUGGGAGUUUGUUGCUUUUUUAAUGUUUCUGGUUUGUAUAUUGGAAGCUAGGUCAUGUUUUGAUAAGAGAAAUAUUUGAGGCACUGAGUUGUGUGUGGGGGUAGGCUUGGUCUUUUUUUUUUUUUUCAGCUUUAGAUAGUUGAACUAGAGGGGCUAAAGCAAGGGAAUGCAAUGCCAAGUCCAGGCGAAUUUUAUUGUUGAGAAACCUGAAUAACCAAGUCCUCAAAACAAGUAUAUCUCUGUAUGAAUUAAUCGAGCAAGAGCGAUUUUGAGAGGAAAGCAUAAUUGUUGGAAGCUCAAGAUAAUUGGGGAGGGAGAUGUUUUUCCUGUUAAUUUGCUAGUUCCAAGAAACCUAAGCCCGAAAUGAAGCCCUUCAAAGUUAUCAAAAUUAGCCUGGUAAGCUUGUCAAGGAAAGUAUUGUCCAUAGGGAAAAUUCUUCGGAUUGACCAUGUAGACUGCUGUAAGAAGUAACAAGUAUCUUGUGAGUUGGACUUCAGGCAAGUGUUUUGUGGGUGUAUUGGUGUUUUCCAGAUUCCAGUUAAGUCUUUGGCCAAGGUAGAAGUUCAUUGAAGUGUUUUUUUGAGAGAAAGUAAGAAGUUUGAAGUUGCACAGAUACAAGCAGUAACCAACGUCACAAAAGCUAUAAAGUUAUUAGUGCAAGCUCACAAAGUUAUUGAAUGACCAAGCAUGAAAGAUUCAAGUAAAUCCAAGAAUAAAAGAUAAGCAAAAUAAAAGUGUAUGAAAUUUUAUCCAGUAAUCCAAAGAAUCAGAUGGGUUGGACAAGAAAAUUUUUAAGAGCUCAAGUAAAUCUCCAGGAAUCGAAGAUAAGUUCACAAAAAAGAAA